rnacentral:rRNA from 1 species
UCUAGCCAGUACCCCUGAGCGAAGAGAACUUUAGUUCAGCCCCCCGAAACUAGACGAGCUACUUCAAGACAGCCUAUGUUGGGCGAACCCGUCUCUGUUGCAAAAGAGUGGGAUGAUCUUCAAGUAGAGGUGACAAACCUAUCGAGCCUAGUUAUAGCUGGUUGUCUGAGAAGUGUAUAUAAGUUCAGCCUCCCGACUCCCCCCAUCCAAGACACUUAUGUCUCCCGAGACCAAGGGCGACCGAGAGAGUUAGUCAAAGAGGGUACAGCCCCUUUGAAAAAGGACACAACCUCCCCGGGAGAUUAAAGAUCAUAAUUAACCCAAGGAACCAUGUUUUAGUGGGCCUAAAAGCAGCCACCUAAGAAGAAAGCGUUAAAGCUCAUACAUACUCCGCCCCCCAAUACCGAGCCCAACUCUACACUCCCCACCUAUUAUCAGACCCUCCCACAAGCACUGGGAAAGACCCUGCUAGAAUGAGUAAUAAGAGGGACCGCCCCUCUCCACUACACAUGUGUAAAUCGGAACGGACCCACCGCCGAUAACUAACGAUCCCCCAUCCGAGGGCAAUGUAACGCUACACGAAUAGCUAGAAAACCCAACAAAAUUAAUCGUUAACCCAACACAGGUGUGCAUGCUCGGAAAGACUUAAACAAAGGGAAGGAACUCGGCAAACACAAGCCUCGCCUGUUUACCAGAAAACAUCGCCUCUUGCCAUAAGAACGAAUAAGAGUCCCGCCUGCCCGGUGACUAUAUGUUUAACGGCCGCGGUAUUUUGACCGUGCGAAGGUAGCGCAAUCAAUUGUCUCUUAAAUGGAGACCUGUAUGAAUGGCAUCACGAGGGCUUAGCUGUCUCCCCUUUAAAGUCAAUGAAAUUGAUCUCCCCGUGCAGAAGCGGGGAUACGCUCGUAAGACGAGAAGACCCUAUGGAGCUUAAGACAUAAAGCGACCCAUGUCAAACACCCCUCAAAGGAAUUGAACAAAGUGAGCCUCGCCGAAAUGUCUUCGGUUGGGGCGACCGCGGGGAAAGACAAAACCCCCACAUGGACCAGGGCCACUAUAGCCCUAAAACCUAGACCCACAGGUCAAAUCAACAGUAUUUCUGACCACCAAAGAGCCGGCAAUGCCGAUCAACGGACCGAGUUACCCUAGGGAUAACAGCGCAAUCCCCUCCCAGAGCCCUUAUCGACGAGGGGGUUUACGACCUCGAUGUUGGAUCAGGAUAUCCUAAUGGUGCAGCCGCUAUUAAGG